ensembl:lncRNA
CUGGAAAGGGUAUAGAAGGCUGAAACUCGAACCCCAGAAGCAGAACCCUAAAAUUGGGACCCCCAAACUGGAACCAGGACCCCCCCCCCCCCCCUCUCCGCCCCCCCAGUCGGCACCUGGACUUCAGAAUGGGGACCCUAAAAUCAGCGCCGUGACUGUGAGGCUGGGACCCCAAAACUGGAGGUGGGACCCCAAAACCAGCAGCAGGAUUCUGGAAUUGGAUCCCGAAACUGGAAUUGGGAGCUUGGAAUUGAGACCCCAAAAACAGCAACGGGACCCCCAAACUGGGACCCCAAUAUCAGCACCGGGACCCCAAAACUGAGACCAGGACCUUGUAAGUGGGACCCCAAAAUCAGCAGCAGGACCUGGAAAUUGGACCCCAAUAUCAGCACCGGGACCCCAAAACUGAGACCAGGACCUUGUAAGUGGGACCCCAAAAUCAGCACCAGGACCUGGAAAUUGGACCCCAAUAUCAGCACCGGGACCCCAAAACCGAGACCAAGACCUUAAAGUGGGACCCCAAAAUCUACCCUGGGACCCCAAAAGCAGACCCAUGACGAUGUAAUCAGCAUCAAGGACCCCAAAAUCUGGCACUGGGACCCCAAAUUUCACCACUUGGACCCAAAAAUUAGCAUUGGGGACCCCAAAAUCCGGCACUGAGACCCCAAAUUUCAGCACUCGGACUCCAAACCCAACACCAAGACCCCAAAUUCCAGCACUGGGACCCCAAAUUUCACCACUUGGACCCCAAAAAUCAGCAUUGGAGACCCCCAAAUCCGGCACUGGGACCCCAGAUUUCACCACUUGGACCCAAAAAUCAGCAUUGGGGACCCCAAAAUCCAGCUCUGGGACCCCAAAUUUCAGCACUUGGACUCCAAACCCAACACCAAGACCCCAAAUUCCGUCACUGGGACCCCAAAUUUCACCACUUGGACCCAAAAAUCAACAUUGGGGACCCCAAAAUCCGGCACUGAGACCCCAAAACCAGGACCCAGGACCCAUGGCUGAGGGGUGUCCCCUCCCUGGGGAGGUGACAGAGGGGGACAGCGGUGUCCCCAAAGGGGACGUCGAUGUCCCCGAGGUCACCGUCACUCCUUGGGCCAGCGGCAUCACCAUCACUGUGACGGUGGCACCGGCGGAUGAGGACAUCGAGGACAUUUGGGACAUUGGGGACACCGAGGACGUUGGGGACAUUGGGGACACCGCUGAGGACAUUGGGGGUGCGGAUGUGGGGCGCGGGGACGUCCCCGUUCCACGUGACAGAGAUGUCCCAACCCUGAAGGGUUUUGGGGACGGGGAUGGCAUUGAUGUCACAGCCCUAAAGGACACUGAGGUGACAGAGGUGGUGACACCAAGGGGUGUUGGGGACAGGGAUGUCCCAACCCCGGGGGAUAUGGGGGGCAGGGAUGUCUCCAUCUAUGGGGACAAGGAUGUCCCGGUCCACGAGGAUGAGGGUGACGGGGACAGGGAUGUCAUAGGUGUAUGGGAUGAUGGGGACAAGGGCUUUGGGGACGGGAAUGCCACCACCCCAAGGGACGAAGUUUGGGAUGUCCCCGUUCCCAGUAUGGAGAAGGGCAGUGGGAAUGGGGGUGUCUUGGCUGCUGGAGACGAGGACAUUGGGGACAUCCCAACCGUAAGGGACAUUGGGGACAUCCCAACCGUAAGGGACAUUGGGGACAUCCCAACCGUAAGGGACAUUGGGGACAAGGAUGUCACAACCCCUAAGGACGAGGACACCAAGGAAAAGCCUGUCCCAACCAUGGGGGAUGAGGACUUUGGGGGCGAGGGUGGUGGGGACAGGGAUGUCCCGUCCCCAGUGGGCUUUGGGGACAAGGACACUGGGGACAAGGAUGUCCCAUCCCCUAAUGGCAUUGGGGACAAGGAUAUUGGGGACAAGGACAUUGGAGAGAAGGGUGUCCCAUCCCCCAUGGGCUUUGGGGACAAGGACUUUGGGGACAAGGAUGUCCCAUCCCCCAUGGACUUUGGGGACAAGGACGUCCCAUAUCUCAUGGGCAUUGGGGACAAGGACAUUGGGGACAAGGACUUUGGGGACAAGGAAGUCCCAUCCCCUAUUGGCUUUGGGGACAAGGAUGCUGGGGACAAGGAUGUCCCAUCUGUCACAGGCUUUGGGGACAAGGACUUUGGGGACAAGGGUGUUCCAUCCCCUCUGGGCUUUGGGGACAAGGACAUUGGGGACAAGGACUUUGGGGGCAAGGAUGUCCCAUCCCCUAUGGGCUUUGCGGACGAGGACAAUGGGGACAAGGAUGUCCCAUCCCCUCUGGGCUUUGGGGACAAGGACUUUGGGGAGAAGGAUGUCCCAUCCCCUAUCGGCUUUGGGGACAAGGAUGUUGGGGACAAGGACAUCCCACCCCCUAAGGCCUUUGGGGACAAGGACUUUGGGGACAAGGAUGUUGGGGACAAGGAUGUCCCAUCCCCCAUGGGCUUUGGGGACAAGGACGUCCCAUCCCCUCUGGGCUUUGGGGACAAGGACUUUGGGGACAAGGAUGUCCCAUCCCCCAUGGGCUUUGGGGACAAGGACGUCCCAUCCCCUAAGGCCUUUGGGGACAAGGACGUUGGGGACAAGGACAUCCCACCCCCUAAGGCCUUUGGGGACAAGGACUUUAGGGACAUGAAU